UGUUUACUUGUUUAAUAAAUGAGACGUAAUCUGGAUUCCGAAUGCAAAGCAUCAUUGAUUCAUUGCUGUUUUUAUUUCUCAGAUUGCGCAUUCACUGUUGCUGGAGCCCUGAUACUCAGGACCUGUAACAUGAUCAGUCCCACCACAAUCCGUCUUCGUCUCCAGUCCCACUCCUGUGUGCACCCCACCUUCCACGUGUCUCAGAUUAAGCCCGUCACGUCCAGUCCCUUGUGCACAGACAGCGGGAGGAUGCCAGAGUGUUACCGUUGUGAUUCCUCCUCGUACCCUGACGUCCUCCUCUCGUGUCGACACCCUUCAAGAUCCUUCAGUUAUCCUUUCUUGUCGGCUCCCCCCGUGAUUUCCUCCUGGUUACUCCUGGACAGUUCCCCUCCUCUGGACCCCAGCCUCCUUCGACAAACAACUGGUUCCUCCUGCUGGUCUGGAUCCCUGGAUUUCUCGGUGCUGCUCGGACCUGCUUCUGCCUCCGCUCCCUGGUCUCAUCAUCAGGCAAACACUGAGUCCACAUCACCUCCUCCCCGGUUUGGUUUCCCCGCCUUGUGAUCAACCCGGUCUCCCAUCCUCCUGGUUCCUGUCCGAGCUCAGUUCUGCUGCAACAGAUCUCCCCCCGAGUUUUGAGUUCAAAUAAACCUUUUUCAAAUCUA